rnacentral:lncRNA from 1 species
GAGAACUUCUAAGAUAUAGUCUCUUAGCAACUUUCAAAUAUACAAUACACUGUUGUUAACUAGAGUCUCAAAAGACGUCUCUCUUUAGAUGCAAAAUGAAGUCUCCUGCAGACUUGUGUUGUUUGAGACAGUGUUUCCAAAAGAAUGGCAGGCAGUUCAAAAAUGCAUUUAAAGAAUCGCAGACUGUCCGUGAGAUAAAGGUGCUGUCCUCUGAGAUUCCACAGUUAAGUGGAAUUAAAUGGGAAAUUUUUGCCUCCUAAUGGAGCACAGUGACACAUGGCCCUGAUGGGUACGACAUCAUUUCUGCUAUACUCUCUUGGUGGAAGGAGUCGAGAGCCCACCUGGAUUCAAAGGACUGGGACAGAGACCCCACCUCUCGAUGGGAGGAGUGUCGAGUGUUUGCAGCAGCUGCUGGAACCACCCUGACUGCGGCAGGGCAAAGAACGGGGUGGUGCCCCCCUGGACGCAGCCGCUGUGCUCCCUGCAGAGGCACCUCGCCACCGCCAAGAGCGACAAUCCCCUGCAAACUGCACCGCCAGCAAACUGCACCGCAGGCCUGCGUCGGGGGGCUCACGGCAGCCUGGUUCACAGACUCUCGGGAGAAAAAUUCCGACGUACAGGACCUGUUACCCAGCCGUGCAUCUCCUCACCUGCAGCAGGCUCUUGAGGAAUGAGACCUGGGAACUUCCGGAGGAGGCUGUGAAUGUGGCUGGAGGGUGUGAAGCUGUUCUGACUUUCACAGCGGAGUCUGUCCCACAAGAUGAGUCAGCGGGUGUCCAAAGCAAAGUUGCCCCUCCAACAUUCUGCGAGCCUGGGGCACCGAGCUGUCCGGGGGUCCUGAGCACCGGCCCUCGUCAGCAAGGCGGCCCUGUCUCUGCGGCGAGCACUGCGGCCUGCAGCGGCCAGGUGAAGACACGGAGGCCCCAAGAGGUGACACUACUUAGCAAAGGUCACCCAGCCACCCACCAGCACAUCUGGAUCUCAGACGCAGCGUUCUGGACUCUGGGUUCAGAACCUUUGAAGAAUAUGGUACAGUUAUGCUCACUGAUGGCUUGCCCAUGUCGCUUUUCCCGUGUGCUGUCAUGUAACAAAUUGACUUCAAAGAAUGCCUUCUAUGAAACAUUAGAAAUGAAGCAUGUUCUGUCAUCAGCUGAAAGCAUACGAUGUUCACAAGAACUGUGCUCGAUCGGAGAAUAUUUGGCUCUUGCAAGGUGUCCCCUUGUCCAGGAAGUCUUUCCCUGCAGCGCUGACAUCCAGCCUCGGUUUGACCUGAAGGUAAAGCUGGAGGGCGAGGAUCAUACGGCUUGUGGAGUUCAGACGAGCAUGGUGACCCCAGGGCACGGGGCCUCCUUCCUCAGCCCUGGGAGGGACAACUACGUGACUCGGCAGAUUCGUUGCCUCAGUUUACUCUUCUCUAAAUGGAGAAUGCUGAGGCAAUACAGAGAGAAUUGGAUGAGUGGGCAUACACAGGGUCUCACAAGUAUCUGAGGUCAUCAGUCGCUAAGUAUACCCACACUCUGCAUGAGGAGCUCAGCUCCAAGCAGAUGUUCACCUCUUGGCAGCGUCUCUUAUAGAGAUGGGAUUGUUUUUCCAGGAGCUGAGCCAAUCUUUGCCUAACUGAUGAAUUACAACAGAAAAUUGCACUGCAGAGGACAGAACUGAGUUUGGCAAUUGAAAUCAUUCCCUAACUCGUGUUGCCCUUCCGACACCCUCUCACCUCCGCCUGAGGCUUCCCGAGUGACGGACGGACACUCCUAGUGAAAGAUUGAAGAUUGAGAGGAAGCGUUUUUAAAGAAAAAAAUAAUAUUUUUGGAGAUUUUCUUAAAUUGUUUAGAGGGAAAAAUAUGCCUGACAUUGGAAAAAUGAGUUCAAAGCCUGCGGUUUUACAGAGGUGGUUGUGUCCUUUUCUCCUUCUGUUCAACUCCUAAGGCCCACCAUCAAUGAAGUCUUCCCUGAGAUCAUGAGAUCAGCAAGAUAAGAGAAUCUAAGACCCAGGAGUGACGUUAUUAAGGAGGAAAUGCCAUCCACUCGUCUUGAUGCUCAGAUGCUGAUGGUCUCUCUGCAGCCUUCCUGCGAUGCCCGAGUUUUCCUUCUGUCCUAGCAAUCUUAGCAGUGUCACCUCUGCUCGUUGACCCCAAACUAAACACAUGAAGAGGGCCUCGUCCACUUCUCUGUGCCUCAGAAUGCUGGGUCUUCCUCCUGCGGGGGCGCCGGCUGAUCCGUCCGUCUUGGGGACCGUCCCUGUGAAAGUCUCGUUGGUUCUUUCCAAGAACUCAUCAAGAGGGAAAACUUACAGUGGUACCAACGUGUAUUGUAACACAAUGCGAGGAAGGUUGACUCAAAGGGGCAUUUUCUAAUAGAAUUUCAGGCAAAAGAACGUGGUUAAAUGGAAAAACAUAGCUUUUAAAAGAAAAUGCUGUUAUGACUAUUGCUUUUUUAAAAAUCUGUAAAAUAAUAUUGUACAAAAAAUUGCUUCCUUUCCCAGUACGUGAACAGUCCCCAUGGAUAACAAAGUCACAUUUCCAAUCAUCCAACUCAUUCACUCAUUGCAAAGGCUCGAUGGCACACCUCUUAGGUUCUAGGCCGUGUGCUGGCCAUGCGAAGGUGAAAGAGACACUGUCCCUCGUAGUCUGUGACAUCUGGGACAAACCAGGAGAGUGGGAGGGGAUCUGGGAAGUCAUACAGCCUAGAGUUGCAUGUAAGACAGGGUCACAUCUAUGACAACUUGGGCGAGUGGCCACUUCUGCUCCCGCCCCUCCCGUGACGGGCACUGCCUGCUUGGGGACGAGUCGCUGUGUUUGCUCAUAUUGCUCCCAAAUUUGUCUUCUUUUAUUUCUGCUUCAUAGUUCUUCUGGUUCUUUCUCUUGGAGCUACACAGAAGGCGCCUGGGAAUUUUGGAGAAAGUCCGUGUGACUCUCGGUUCCCCCGUGUCCUCUUCCCAGUUUCCUGCCGCCAUCCUCGUUGGCUGGGAAUACUCUGCACAAUGGAAGUAACUGGAUUUUGGAGUCAGACUUGGGGCUGGGCCACGUUCUAGCUGCAAGAGCUUGGACACACAUUUGUUAGCAUUUUGAGUGAUAAUAAGCCCGUAUUUUCUCACUUGUAGAACAGACACAAAAAUCCCAUCUCAUAAGAUUGUUCUGAAAAUAAACCGAGGAAAUCUGUGUGAUACGCCAGCACAGACUCCACACGUCCUUGGGCAUAAUAAACACUUGUCGUCAAGUGACCGGGUGAACGCAGGGUUUCACUGCUCUCCUCUCAUUGUUCCGCCCUGGACCCAUCCGGCUGCUCAUCGGCUCCUUUAAAAUAAGGCGUUCAGAUCUGAGCGUGGAUGUCAAUCUAGGGAAAGGAGUAGUGGCUUUAUUUCUUGGGUUUAUCUGAACUUUUACUUAUGGAAGCUGAUCGUAUGUAUUUUAAGCAACCUUCCAUUAUGCAAUGUGUUUUACAAUACGUAGGUUCCUUGAAUUUGUCGUUCAGCUAAGAACCUCAGAUUUUGUUUGUGGUAAAACUAGGUUUCUUGACCCCAGUGGGUGGAAUUGACUUAUCAAGCCCGAGAGCAGGAUUUUCACAUCCCUUCUGGUUGAGUUGCAGGCAAGUCCUCGGGCGCCCGUCUCAGAUUUUGAGCUGGAGCGGAAUCUGGACUCACCGUGGGUUUUAUUGCUGUCUCCCCUAACUUGGGUUGGAUCAGCGUUUGAGGACUGCAAAGCAAGCAUCCCACACUUCUCCUUAAAUGUGCUCCCCAUUGAAGAAUGUGACCUUCCAGCUUGGAGGAGGAAUUUCCUUCCGUCAAGGGCAUGCCUUCUGUAUCUUCAUCUGGUCAAUUCACAAAAACACCAAGGUGGAACAUGGACUAAUGCAAAAUCUGGCCAUAUACCACUUUUCUCCAGAAGGGUUCAAAUCCAGGUCCCCUUUGGAGUGUAUUUACUGUUCAACCAACCAGGAAUCCAUCUAAUAACUCUAUUGUCCAUCAGGUCCUACAUCACCAUUGUGAAGGAACCUCACAAAUGUGCCACACAUCAAGAUGCAAGGUGUAAACAAUAAUGAUGGCAGUGAACAUGUACCAAGAGCAUUGUGUUAAGGGAUGUCACUAAAUUAUCAAGUGGAGGCUAUACAUUGACUACAGGCGGGGAAAUAAACACUUAGAGAAUUUCAGAAACUUUGCCCACAUCAGACUAGGAAGCGGAGGAGCCGGGUUUGAAGGCAGGCAGGCCAGCCCGAGCGCCCACAGUUGUCACAACUACUUACUCCUUGAUUGUUUUCAAUAUCACCAGUUAUAUGUUUUAAUAAUAAUUCUCUACCUUUUCAUAGACAGUGGUCAAAUUUUUUCUGUAGAAUUUUAAGUAAUGGAUAGAUGAUAGCUUUGGGGAAUGGUGUGGGAAUAUUCUUGCUAAGGACAGAGGUACAGAUUUUUUUUAUUCCAGUUCAAGUUUGCUCUUUUGGUUUUCUUCCAUCCGGCUGCAGUUAACACUUUCAUGUACAAUAUUAUCACCAAGUAUGACGCAUUCCUUUUUAAAAUUAAAGAGCAAACAAGUAAAAAAAUUGAUAUCGUUAACUGCUUUCCUGGAGGCGGUAUACCUUCAGCCUUGUCUCCUGUGUUUCCCAAUAGUCCCCGAGGCGGGUGGCACAGACAUCUGCAUCCGCGACGUCUACGUCCACAGACGUCUGCGUCCACGACAUCUGCAUCCACAUCAUCUGCAUCCACGAUGUAGUCAGGGGCAGUUGUCCCUGAGGUUGAAACGAUGACCUCGAGUCACACUCAGCGUCUUCAACAAGAAAAGUCGUUUACAAUCCAUUCACCAAGUCUUUCUCACUAAGCAGUGACAUGGAGAGGAACAAAAAAGAUUUUUCCUGUUAAUUCGUGUGUAAACAUCACAUUUUGCUAAUUAGAAUAUUCCCUUCUCUAAUAUUCCUCUUCAACAAAGUUUUUACCCUCCUGCCUUAUAGGUCUAUGAAUCCUGUUAUUAUUUUAACAUCUUGAAAAAUAUAGCAUAUAGAAUAUGAUCA